AUGCUCUUCUGUUUCUUGAAAAACGUUAUCCAUAAUUCAGCUUCUUCUGCGACGAAUUUCAAUGAUUCGUCAUUGUCCAUGCCUUUACUUCCGCUGUCUAAUCUCAUCAUCUCGUUUCGAUUCGCAGCGCCUUCGUCUCUUCACUUCAUGAACUCAUCUUCCACGGUUUGCAACGACGUGACAAUGAAUACUGGCGAGGGUUUAAAGAGAAGGAUAUGA